rnacentral:rRNA from 1 species
GAUGAACGCUGGCGGCGUGCCUAAUACAUGCAAGUCGAGCGAACAGACGAGGAGCUUGCUCCUCUGACGUUAGCGGCGGACGGGUGAGUAACACGUGGAUAACCUACCUAUAAGACUGGGAUAACUUCGGGAAACCGGAGCUAAUACCGGAUAAUAUAUUUAACCGCAUGGUUCAAUAGUGAAAUACGGUUUUGCUUUCACUUAUAGAUGGAUCCGCUCCGCAUUAGCUAGUUGGUAAGGUAACGGCUUACCAAGGCGACGAUGCGUAGCCGACCUGCGAGGGUGAUCGGCCACACUGGAAGUGAGACACGGUCCAGACUCCUACGGGAGGCAGCAGUAGGGAAUCUUCCGCAAUGGGCGAAAGCCUGACGGAGCAACGCCGCGUGAGUGAUGAAGGUCUUCGGAUCGUAAAACUCUGUUAUUAGGGAAGAACAAAUGUGUAAGUAACUAUGCACGUCUUGACGGUACCUAAUCAGAAAGCCACGGCUAACUACGUG